rnacentral:rRNA from 1 species
CUUGGCCGCGUGCCUGACACAUGCCAUUUCGAACGCCACUGGGGGCUUCGGCUCCCGUAUGAGUGGCGAACGGGUGAGUAACACGUGGGUGAUCUACCUUCGAGUGGGGGAUAACGUUCCGAAAGGAACGCUAAUACCGCAUGACGUUCUGGGUUUAAAGACCUGGAAACCAAAGCUGGGGACCGCAAGGCCUGGCGCUUGAAGAGGAGCCCGCGUCCGAUUAGCUAGUUGGCGGGGUAAUGGCCCACCAAGGCGACGAUCGGUAGCCGGCCUGAGAGGGCGGACGGCCACACUGGGACUGAUACACGGCCCAGACUCCUACGGGAUGCAACAGUGGGGAAUUGUUCACUAUGGGCGCAAGCCUGAUGACGCAACGCCCCAUGAGGGAUGAAAGCCUUCGGGUCGUAAACCCCUGUCCAAUGGGACAAAAGACUCCCGAAGUUAAUACUCCGCGAGGGUGGACGGUAC